rnacentral:rRNA from 1 species
CCUACGGGUGGCAGCAGUGGGGAAUAUUGCACAAUGGGGGAAACCCUGAUGCAGCGACGCCGCGUGGGUGACGAAGUAUUUCGGUAUGUAAAGCCCUAUCAGCAGGGAAGAAGAUGACAGUACCUGACCAAGAAGCUCCGGCUAAAUACGUGCCAGCAGCCGCGGUAAUACGUAGGGGGCAAGCGUUAUCCGGAUUUACUGGGUGUAAAGGGAGCGUAGGUGGCGUGGCAAGCCAGAAGUGAAAACCCGGGGCUUAACCCCGCGGAUUGCUUUUGGUACUGUCAGGCUGGAGUGCAGGAGAGGCAGGCGGAAUUCCUGGUGUAGCGGUGAAAUGCGUAGAUAUCAGGAAGAACACCGGUGGCGAAGGCAGCCUGCUGGACUGUAACUGACACUGAGGCUCGAAAGCGUGGGGAGCAAACAGGAUUAGAUACCCCAUUAGUC